rnacentral:rRNA from 1 species
UGGUGGGUAGUUUGACUGGGGCGGUCUCCUCCUAAAGAGUAACGGAGGAGCACGAAGGUUGGCUAAUCCUGGUCGGACAUCAGGAGGUUAGUGCAAUGGCAUAAGCCAGCUUGACUGCGAGCGUGACGGCGCGAGCAGGUGCGAAAGCAGGUCAUAGUGAUCCGGUGGUUCUGAAUGGAAGGGCCAUCGCUCAACGGAUAAAAGGUACUCCGGGGAUAACAGGCUGAUACCGCCCAAGAGUUCAUAUCGACGGCGGUGUUUGGCACCUCGAUGUCGGCUCAUCACAUCCUGGGGCUGAAGUAGGUCCCAAGGGUAUGGCUGUUCGCCAUUUAAAGUGGUACGCGAGCUGGGUUUAGAACGUCGUGAGACAGUUCGGUCCCUAUCUGCCGUGGGCGCUGGAGAACUGAGGGGGGCUGCUCCUAGUACGAGAGGACCGGAGUGGACGCAUCACUGGUGUUCGGGUUGUCAUGCCAAUGGCACUGCCCGGUAGCUAAAUGCGGAAGAGAUAAGUGCUGAAAGCAUCUAAGCACGAAACUUGCCCCGAGAUGAGUUCUCCCUGAGACUUUAAGUCUCCUGAAGGAACGUUGAAGACGACGACGUUGAUAGGCCGGGUGUGUAAGCGCAGCGAUGCGUUGAGCUAACCGGUACUAAUGAA